rnacentral:rRNA from 1 species
UACGAAGGGGGCUAGCGUUGUUCGGAAUUAUUGGGCGUAAAGAGCUCGUAGGCGGUUUGUCGCGUCUGCCGUGAAAGUCCGGGGCUUAACUCCGGAUCUGCGGUGGGUACGGGCAGACUAGAGUGCAGUAGGGGAGACUGGAAUUCCUGGUGUAGCGGUGAAAUGCGCAGAUAUCAGGAGGAACACCGAUGGCGAAGGCAGGUCUCUGGGCUGUAACUGACGCUGAGGAGCGAAAGCAUGGGGAGCGAACAGG